UUUAACGGCCGCGGUAUUUUGACCGUGCAAAGGUAGCGCAAUCACUCGUCCUUUAAAUAGGGACCUGUAUGAAUGGCCAAACGAGGGCUUAACUGUCUCCCCUUUCAAGUCAGUGAAAUUGAUUUAUCCGUGCAGAAGCGGAUAUACUAAUACAAGACGAGAAGACCCUUUGGAGCUUAAGGUACAAGACUUAAAUCACACAAAACAAACCCGUAAACGUUACUAAUCAAGUGAAAAAUAAGUUUCUACCUUCGGUUGGGGCGACCAAGGAGUAAAAAACAACCUCCAAGUGGAGUGGGCACAGCCCUAAAACUAAGAGAAACAUCUCUAAGCCUUAGAACAUCUAACCAAAGACGAUCCGGCCCUUAAAGCCGAUCAACGAACCAAGUUACCCUAGGGAUAACAGCGCAAUCCUCUCCAAGAGUCCAUAUCGACGAGGGGGUUUACGACCUCGAUGUGGAUCAGG
rnacentral:rRNA from 1 species